UAAUCCUCGACUCCAUUACGGAUUAAAACGACGUUAACAGGUGCACGACUUUGCGGAGUGAUUUCAAAACGGAGUCAAUUAGUACUGCGUGAUCAUUCCGCCAUCUUAAGCUUCUGCCGCAGAUGUGAGAUGACUCCAGAUGUUCCACAUGUCCCUGACAUUAGGAACAUGGACAUUAACUCCUCAAUGAAAGGCAGCCACGAUUCCUUCUAGAGGUAAAGGACGGGAGGAUAAAGUGUCGGAUCGGACAGUAAGUCUUCAUCUUGACAAGGUCUUCAGCCGAGCACAGAACAUUUGUCCUGACAGGAACCACCAGGAGCCUCUGUUAAAACAAGGCUGAGUAUUUUCCCUGAGCUUGGAUUGGUACCUGACUCCUCCCCCCUGCCCCACCUCCUGGAAUAGGCCCUGAUGCAAGCACAUUCUCAUCCAUCUGGCUCAUCUGGUUCCUUGGUAAUUGAACAUGGCAUUAUUAUGGCCAAAGUGACCUUUCUUUCCUUGCUGCUAUGUGCUUGUGUUUGUUGUAAA